CGGUGGCCCAACCCCUUGUGGGAGGGAGCUGUCGAAGGUGGGACUGGCGAUUGGGACGAAGUCGUAACAAGGUAGCCGUACCGGAAGGUGCGGCUGGAUCACCUCCUUUCUAAGGAGCA
rnacentral:rRNA from 1 species